rnacentral:rRNA from 1 species
AUACGGAGGAUGCGAGCGUUAUCCGGAUUUAUUGGGUUUAAAGGGUGCGUAGGCGGUUUGUCAAGUCAGCGGUGAAACGCAAGGGCUUAACCCUUGACCUGCCGUUGAAACUGAUGGACUAGAAUGCGGAUGCUGUGGGAGGAAUGUGUGGUGUAGCGGUGAAAUGCAUAGAUAUCACACAGAACACCGAUUGCGAAGGCAUCUCACAAAUCCGUGAUUGACGCUGAGGCACGAAAGUGUGGGGAUCAAACAGGAUUAGAUACCCUGGUAGUCCACACUGUAAACGAUGAUGACUCGCUGUCGGCGAUAUACAGUCGGUGGCCAAGCGAAAGCGAUAAGUCAUCCACCUGGGGAGUACGACCGCAAGGUUGAAACUCAAAUGAAUUGGCGGGG